rnacentral:rRNA from 1 species
CGCGGCCUAUCAGCUUGUUGGGGGGGUAAUGGCCCACCAAGGCGACGACGGGUAGCUGGUCUGAGAGGAUGGCCAGCCACAUUGGGACUGAGAGACGGCCCAGACUCCUACGGGAGGCAGCAGUGGGGAAUCUUGCGCAAUGGUCUAACGACUGACGCAGCGACGCCGCGUGUGGGAGGACGCCUUUCGGGGUGUAAACCACUGUUGCCCGGGACGAACAGCCCUUUUCGAGGGGUCUGACGGUACCGGGUGAGGAAGCACCGGCUAACUCCGUGCCAGCAGCCGCGGUAAUACGGAGGGUGCAAGCGUUGUCCGGAAUCACUGGGCGUAAAGGGCGCGUAGGCGGCUCAUAAAGGCUGUGGUGAAAGUUCGGGGCUCAACCCCGAAUCGGCCGUGGCGACUUGUGGGCUGGAGCACUGUAGAGGCGGGUGGAAUUCCGGGUGUAGCGGUGGAAUGCGUAGAGAUCCGGAAGAACACCAGUGGCGAAGGCGGUCUGCUGGGGUAAUGCUGACACUGAUGCGCGACAGCGUGGGGAGCAAACAGGAUUAGAUACCCUGGUAGUCCACGCCGUAAACGAUGGGCACUAGAUGCUUGGGGGAGCGACCCCCUGAGUGUCGUCGCUAACGCAUUAAGUGCCCCGCCUGGGGAGUACGG